rnacentral:rRNA from 1 species
GGGUGCGAGCGUUAAUCGGAAUUACUGGGCGUAAAGCGUGCGUAGACGGUUAUCUAAGUCGGAUGUGAAAGCCCCGGGCUCAACCUGGGAAUUGCAUUCGAGACUGAAUAGCUAGGGUACGGUAGAGGGAAGUGGAAUUUCCGGUGUAGCGGUGAAAUGCGUAGAUAUCGGAAGGAACAUCAGUGGCGAAAGCGGUCUGCUGGGCCGUUGCUGACGCUGAGGCGCGACAGCGUGGGGAGCAAACAGG